rnacentral:rRNA from 1 species
AUUCAAAUAUCUGCCCUAUCACUUUCGAUGGUAGGAUAGAGGCUACCAUGUUUUGACGGGUAACGGGAAUAAGGGGUUCGAUUCCGGAGAGGGAGCUGAGAAACGGUUACCAAUCCAAGGAAGGCAGCAGGGCGCAAAAUUACCCAAUCCCGAUACGGGAAGGUAGUGACAAUAAAUAACAAUACAGGGCUUUCUAGUCUUGUAAUUGGAAUGAGUACAAUUUAAAUCCCUUAAGAGGAACAAUUGGAGGGCAAGUCUGGGUGCCAGCAAGCGGGGGUAAAUUCCAAGUUCCAAUAGCGGUAUAUUAAAGUUGGUUGCAGUUUAAAAAGCUCGUAGUUGAAUUUUAGGCCUGGUUUGGACAGGUCUGCCUUUGGUUUGUACUGUCCUGACUGGGUCUUACCUUCUGGUGAGCUGUCGUGUGUUUACUCAGUGCGGAGGAAACCAAGGAUUUUUACUUUGAAAAAAUUAGAGUGUUAAAAGCAGGCAUUCCGUUGAAUACAUUAGCAUGGAAUAAAUAGAAUAGGACUU